rnacentral:rRNA from 1 species
CUACCAGCUAAGGUCCCUAAGUCUUACUUAAGUGGAAAACGAUGUGAAGUUACUUAAACAACCAGGAGGUUGGCUUAGAAGCAGCCAUCCUUUAAAGAAAGCGUAAUAGCUCACUGGUCUAGUGAUUUUGCGCGGAAAAUAUAACGGGGCUAAAGUAAGUACCGAAGCUGUAGACUUAGUUUACUAAGUGGUAGGAGAGCGUUCUAUUUGCGUCGAAGGUAUACCGGUAAGGAGUGCUGGAGCGAAUAGAAGUGAGCAUGCAGGCAUGAGUAGCGAUAAUUAAUGUGAGAAUCAUUAACGCCGUAAACCCAAGGUUUCCUACGCGAUGCUCGUCAUCGUAGGGUUAGUCGGGUCCUAAGUCGAGUCCGAAAGGGGUAGACGAUGGCAAAUUGGUUAAUAUUCCAAUACCAACAUUAGUGUGCGAUGGAAGGACGCUUAGGGCUAAGGGGGCUAGCGGAUGGAAGUGCUAGUCUAAGGUCGUAGGAGGUUAUACAGGCAAAUCCGUAUAACAAUACUCCGAGAACUGAAAGGCUUUUUGAAGUCUUCGGAUGGAUAGAAGAACCCCUGAUGCCGUCGAGCCAAGAAAAGUUUCUAAGUUUAGCUAAUGUUGCCCGUACCGUAAACCGACACAGGUGGGUGGGAUGAGUAUUCUAAGGCGCGUGGAAGAACUCUCUUUAAGGAACUCUGCAAAAUAGCACCGUAUCUUCGGUAUAAGGUGUGGUUAGCUUUGUAUUAGGAUUUACUCCGAAAGCAAGGAAACUUACAACAAAGAGUCCCUCCCGACUGUUUACCAAAAACACAGCACUCUGCUAACUCGUAAGAGGAUGUAUAGGGUGUGACGCCUGCCCGGUGCUCGAAGGUUAAUUGAUGGGGUUAGCAUUAGCGAAGCUCUUGAUCGAAGCCCGAGUAAACGGCGGCCGUAACUAUAACGGUCCUAAGGUAGCGAAAUUCCUUGUCGGUUAAAUACCGACCUGCAUGAAUGGCGUAACGAGAUGGGAGCUGUCUCAAAGAGGGAUCCAGUGAAAUUGUAGUGGAGGUGAAAAUUCCUCCUACCCGCGGCAAGACGGAAAGACCCCGUGGACCUUUACUACAGCUUGACACUGCUACUUGGAUAAGAAUGUGCAGGAUAGGUGGGAGGCUUUGAGUAUAUGACGCCAGUUGUAUAUGAGCCAUUGUUGAGAUACCACUCUUUCUUAUUUGGGUAGCUAACCAGCUUGAGUUAUCCUCAAGUGGGACAAUGUCUGGUGGGUAGUUUGACUGGGGCGGUCGCCUCCCAAAUAAUAACGGAGGCUUACAAAGGUUGGCUCAGAACGGUUGGAAAUCGUUCGUAGAGUAUAAAGGUAUAAGCCAGCUUAACUGCAAGACAUACAAGUCAAGCAGAGACGAAAGUCGGUCUUAGUGAUCCGGUGGUUCUGUGUGGAAGGGCCAUCGCUCAAAGGAUAAAAGGUACCCCGGGGAUAACAGGCUGAUCUCCCCCAAGAGCUCACAUCGACGGGGAGGUUUGGCACCUCGAUGUCGGCUCAUCGCAUCCUGGGGCUGGAGCAGGUCCCAAGGGUAUGGCUGUUCGCCAUUUAAAGCGGUACGCGAGCUGGGUUCAGAACGUCGUGAGACAGUUCGGUCCCUAUCUGCCGUGGGCGUAAGAAGAUUGAAGAGAUUUGACCCUAGUACGAGAGGACCGGGUUGAACAAACCACUGGUGUAGCUGUUGUUCUGCCAAGAGCAUCGCAGCGUAGCUAAGUUUGGAAAGGAUAAACGCUGAAAGCAUCUAAGCGUGAAGCCAACUCUAAGAUGAAUCUUCUCUAAGCUCUCUAGAAGACUACUAGUUUGAUAGGCUGGGUGUGUAAUGGAUGAAAGUCCUUUAGCUGACCAGUACUAAUAGAGCGUUUGGCUUAUCUUU